CCGACGGGUGAGUAACACGUAUCCAACCUGCCGUCUACUCUUGACAGCCUUCUGAAAGGAAGAUUAAUACAAGAUGGCAUCAUGAGUCCGCAUGUUCACAUGAUUAAAGGUAUUCCGGUAGACGAUGGGGAUGCGUUCCAUUAGAUAGUAGGCGGGGUAACGGCCCACCUAGUCUUCGAUGGAUAGGGGUUCUGAGAGGAAGGUCCCCCACAUUGGAACUGAGACACGGUCCAA
rnacentral:rRNA from 1 species